UAGAGUUUGAUCAUGGCUCAGGAUGAACGCUAGCGACAGGCUUAACACAUGCAAGUCGAGGGGCAGCGGGGAGGUAGCAAUACUUCCGCCGGCGACCGGCGCACGGGUGAGUAACACGUAUGGAACCUGCCCGUAGCAGGGGGAUAAACGGAAGAAAUUCCGUCUAAUACCGCGUAAUAACUCCGAGAGGCAUCUCAUGGAGUUUAAAGGGUAACACCGGCUACGGAUGGCCAUGCGGCGCAUUAGCUAGUUGGCGGGGUAACGGCCCACCAAGGCGACGAUGCGUAGGGGUUCUGAGAGGAAGGUCCCCCACACUGGUACUGAGACACGGACCAGACUCCUACGGGAGGCAGCAGUGAGGAAUAUUGGUCAAUGGGCGCGAGCCUGAACCAGCCAAGUCGCGUGAGGGAAGACGGUCCUAUGGAUUGUAAACCUCUUUUGUCGGGGAGCAAAAGACGCCACGUGUGGCGUUCCGAGAGUACCCGAAGAAAAAGCAUCGGCUAACUCCGUGCCAGCAGCCGCGGUAAUACGGAGGAUGCGAGCGUUAUCCGGAUUUAUUGGGUUUAAAGGGUGCGCAGGCGGAAGAUCAAGUCAGCGGUAAAAUUGAGAGGCUCAACCUCUUCGAGCCGUUGAAACUGGUUUUCUUGAGUGAGCGAGAAGUAUGCGGAAUGCGUGGUGUAGCGGUGAAAUGCAUAGAUAUCACGCAGAACUCCGAUUGCGAAGGCAGCAUACCGGCGCUCAACUGACGCUCAUGCACGAAAGUGUGGGUAUCGAACAGGAUUAGAUACCCUGGUAGUCCACACAGUAAACGAUGAAUACUAAUUGUUCGGGGAGAAUGAUCCCUGAGUGAUACAGCGAAAGCGUUAAGUAUUCCACCUGGGGAGUACGCCGGCAACGGUGAAACUCAAAGGAAUUGACGGGGGCCCGCACAAGCGGAGGAACAUGUGGUUUAAUUCGAUGAUACGCGAGGAACCUUACCCGGGCUCAAACGACACAGGAAUACUUUUGAAAGGAGGUAGCUCUACGGAGUCUGUGUCGAGGUGCUGCAUGGUUGUCGUCAGCUCGUGCCGUGAGGUGUCGGCUUAAGUGCCAUAACGAGCGCAACCCCCAUCGCCAGUUACCAGCAAGUCAAGUUGGGGACUCUGGCGAGACUGCCGGCGCAAGCUGUGAGGAAGGCGGGGAUGACGUCAAAUCAGCACGGCCCUUACGUCCGGGGCGACACACGUGUUACAAUGGCAGGUACAGAGAGAAGCAAUGCGGCGACGCAAAGCGGAACUUGAAAGCCUGUCUCAGUUCGGAUUGGAGUCUGCAACUCGACUCCAUGAAGCUGGAUUCGCUAGUAAUCGCGCAUCAGCCAUGGCGCGGUGAAUACGUUCCCGGGCCUUGUACACACCGCCCGUCAAGCCAUGGAAGCCGGGAGUGCCUGAAGUGUGCAACCGCAAGGAGCGCCCUAAGGUAAAACUGGUGACUGGGGCUAAGUCGUAACAAGGUAACCGUAA
rnacentral:rRNA from 1 species